rfam:Biomphalaria glabrata isolate BB02 unplaced genomic scaffold LGTN_random_Scaffold3090, whole genome shotgun sequence.
AUGGCUGAGUGGUAAAGCACUUGGUUUCCAAAGCCAGGGUCCCGGGUUCGAAUCCUGGU